rnacentral:rRNA from 1 species
UGAACAUUGAGCCUUGAUGUGUAGGAUAGGUGGGAGGCUUUGAAGUGUGGACGCCAGUCUGCAUGGAGCCGACCUUGAAAUACCACCCUUUAAUGUUUGAUGUUCUAACGUGGACCCGUGAUCCGGGUUGCGGACAGUGUCUGGUGGGUAGUUUGACUGGGGCGGUCUCCUCCUAAAGAGUAACGGAGGAGCACGAAGGUUGGCUAAUCCUGGUCGGACAUCAGGAGGUUA